rnacentral:misc_RNA from 1 species
GGAACGCCCAAGCCAGAUGCUGCAGAUAAAUUGGAGCGGUUAAGGGAGAGGAUGAUAAAAGUAAGAGAGCUUUUUCGUGACACAACCUCGACAGAAUUUAUCAUAGUAACAAUCCCCACGGUUAUGGCAAUUAGCGAAUCGUCCAGGUUGUGUGCUUCCUUAAAGGUGGAAGAUGUUCCUGUCAAGAGGCUUAUUGCUAAUCAGAUCCUCCCGCCAUCAGCCUCAGAUUGCAAGUUCUGCGCAAUGAAAAGAAAGGACCAAAGUCGUGCUCUGGAUAUGAUCCAAAAUGACCCGGAGCUCUCUAGCCUGAUGUUGGUUCAGGCACCCCUUGUUGAUGUAGAGAUCAGAGGUGUGCCAGCUCUUCAGUUUUUAGGGGACAUUGUCUGGAAAUAAAGAAAAAGAACUUGACACUGCAUCAGCUAAUCAGAUGUUUCCAGUCGCAUUUGGCAACAAACUGCAUUGAUGGACUAUGAGCACCCAAGCCUUUUGAUGGUCUUGCUCUUACUAGUAAACACUAAUACAUGCAAUACUCAUGUUAUUUUACUUAAGUAUACACAGUGGGAGUUUCCUUGGGACGAGUCAACAAAAAUGGGGCUGAAAAGAAUUAUUUGUUUUCAUAUCAGUGACUUGACAUUUGAAAAUGAAAAAGAACGUGGCAAAGAACUGGUGGAACAAGUAAACUGGACGUCAGUCUCCCGUUUGUUUUUUUCUUCUCUUGGGACAUAGUGAACUUGUUUUGUUGUAUAAAAUGGGCUGUACGAUGCUUUUAUUUUGUGGAUUUCGAAACAGCUAAGAAAAGGCUUGUGACUGUGUAUAUAGAUAUGCUUCUGCCUUUAUGUUCUGUCAAACUCGGUAUACUAGAUUUUUUUAGUUCUA